AUGAGCCUUCUCCUAGCCUUGGAGCUUCUGCUCUCCCUGCUUGCCUUGCCACGCCUUUCUUCUACCUCAAAUUCCACUCAUCCGUCACUGGAUCGGCAGGCAGAGGCGCUUCUCCAAUGGAAAUCUAGCCUAAGCAGUUGGUCCUUUGAUUUCCUGGACUCAUGGACAAACCGAAGCAGCCCCUGUAACUGGUCCGGCGUUGCCUGCAGCAACGCCAUGCCUCCUGGCAGUGGCCGGGGUCAUCCUGCCUUAGUUGUGUGGGAGAUUUGGCUUCCGGAUUGUGGCCUUGUUGGCAGGUUGGACAGGCUCCACUUUGCAGACUUGCCUCAUCUUGUAUAUCUGAACCUUGGACACAACUCUCUCUCGGGGCCAAUCCCAUCAAGCAUUGGUGCUGUUGCUGAUCUCACUCACUUGGAUCUAUCCAACAAUGGCCUGAACGGAUCUAUCCCGACAUCGCUAGGUAAUUGUACUAAACUAAGAACACUGGCACUUGCAUCUAAUCAGAUUACCGGCCUAUUACCACCUGAGAUAGGAUAUUGCCGCUCUUUAUUGUCAUUACUUGCAUCAGACAACUUAUUGACAGGACAGAUACCACAAGAACUUGGGUAUCUUUCAAACCUAAAUGAGCUAGAUUUGAGUAGAAACAGUUUAAGUGGUACCAUCCCAGUGAUUCUUUAUAAGCUGAACUACCUUUUCAGGGUGAAUUUAUCAUAUAACAGUUUAGGUGGCAAAGUUCCAUCUUUCACUGGAUCCUGGAUCGAUCUUGACCAUAAUAAGGAUUUAUGCGAUGAUUCCUAUGGCUUAACGCCAUGUGACACACCAAACAUCGACAUGGAACACAAGAGCAGAAAACAUUCACGUAUGGUACUUCUUGCUUUUUUUGCACCCUUUUCCUUCGCUUGCCUCUCGAUAGCAAGCAUCACGGUUGUUUGUUGGAGAAAAAAGUGUGUAAAAAGUAAAAGCAAAAGAAAGUCUGGAGAUGUACUUUCUAUAUGGAAUUUCGACGGGAAGAUCGCAUUCGAAGACAUACUAACUGCAACAGAAAAUUUCGAUGAGAAAUAUUGCAUUGGCGUUGGAGGCUAUGGAACUGUAUUCAGAGUUGAGCUUGAAAGCGGGGCUGUCUUUGCUGUCAAGCUCCUGCAUUCAAUGGAAGAAUUCAGCGCCGAGGAGACAUUUCAUGCUGAGAUUGAAGUGUUGACGAAAAUCAGGCACCGAUGCAUUGUCAAGCUGUAUGGCUUCUGUUCACAUUCCCAAUGCAAAUUUCUCGUGUACGACCUUAUUGAGAGGGGAAGCUUAUCAUCCAUUUUGCACGAACAAGAGCUAGCAAAAGAGCUGAACUGGACCAACAGAAUCACUAUUGUGACGGACAUAGCUCAAGCUCUCGCCUACUUGCAUCAUGAUUGUGAUGAUCCUAUUGUACACCGAGACAUAAAAAGCAGCAACAUUCUUCUGAACCUUGAUUAUAAAGCUUAUGUCUCGGACUUCGGCAUGGCGAGGAAGCUGAAGCACGGUUGCUCAAGCUGGAGCACAAUCUUUGCAGGGACAUGUGGCUACAUAGCACCUGAAUUGUCAUCUACCAUGGUGUUGACUGAGAAAUGCGACGUGUACAGCUUCGGUGUGGUUGCGCUGGAAGUUGUGAUGGGAAAGCACCCAGGUGAUCUGCUCCUUCCGUUCUUCUGCCGAACAGAGCAGCCGGGGAAGUUCAAUGAUAUCCUGGAUCGACGCAUCGCAGCGCCGUCAACCAUCCAUGAGGAGAAGGAUGCCAUUUUGGUUGCCUUGGUGGCCUUUGCUUGUCUGCAAGUCAAUCCCAAAUCCCGGCCAACAAUGCAGCAGGUGUAUCAGGCACUGACAAAUAGAAACCGCCCAGCUUUCAUGCCCAGGCCCCUUCAUGAAAUCAGCCUGCAAGAUUUGCACGAUUACUGUGGCACCAUAAAGAAUAUAUGA
rnacentral:rRNA from 1 species